AGAGUUUGAUCCUGGCUCAGGAUGAACGCUAGCGGCAGGCCUAACACAUGCAAGUCGAGGGGCAGCACGGUGUAGCAAUACACUGGUGGCGACCGGCGCACGGGUGAGUAACACGUGUGCAACCAACCCCGUACCGGGAGAUAACCCGCGGAAACGUGGACUAACAUCCCAUGACACUCGAGAGCCGCAUGGCUCUAGAUUUAAAAUUCCGGUGGUACGGGACGGGCACGCGCGACAUUAGGUAGUUGGCGGGGUAAGGGCCCACCAAGCCGACGAUGUCUAGGGGUUCUGAGAGGAAGGUCCCCCACACUGGAACUGAGACACGGUCCAGACUCCUACGGGAGGCAGCAGUGAGGAAUAUUGGUCAAUGGGCGAGAGCCUGAACCAGCCAAGUCGCGUGAGGGAAGAAUGGUCUAUGGCCUGUAAACCUCUUUUGUCAGGGAAGAAUAAGGAUGACGAGUCAUUCGAUGCCAGUACUUGACGAAUAAGCAUCGGCUAACUCCGUGCCAGCAGCCGCGGUAAUACGGGGGAUGCGAGCGUUAUCCGGAUUUAUUGGGUUUAAAGGGCGCGUAGGCGGGACGUCAAGUCAGCGGUAAAAGACUGCAGCUAAACUGUAGCACGCCGUUGAAACUGGCGCCCUGGAGACGAGACGAGGGAGGCGGAACAAGUGAAGUAGCGGUGAAAUGCAUAGAUAUCACUUGGAACCCCGAUAGCGAAGGCAGCUUCCCAGGCUCGUUCUGACGCUGAUGCGCGAGAGCGUGGGUAGCGAACAGGAUUAGAUACCCUGGUAGUCCACGCCGUAAACGAUGCUCACUGGAUCUUGGCGAUACACGGCCAGGGUUCAAGCGAAAGUAUUAAGUGAGCCACCUGGGGAGUACGUCGGCAACGAUGAAACUCAAAGGAAUUGACGGGGGCCCGCACAAGCGGAGGAACAUGUG
rnacentral:rRNA from 1 species